rnacentral:rRNA from 1 species
GAUGAACGCUGGCGGCGUGCCUAAUACAUGCAAGUCGAGCGAACGGACGAGAAGCUUGCUUCUCUGAUGUUAGCGGCGGACGGGUGAGUAACACGUGGAUAACCUACCUAUAAGACUGGGAUAACUUCGGGAAACCGUAGCUAAUACCGGAUAAUAUUUUGAACCGCAUGGUUCAAAAGUGAAAGACGGUCUUGCUGUCACUUAUAGAUGGAUCCGCGCUGCAUUAGCUAGUUGGUAAGGUAACGGCUUACCAAGGCAACGAUGCAUAGCCGACCUGAGAGGGUGAUCGGCCACACUGGAACUGAGACACGGUCCAGACUCCUACGGGAGGCAGCAGUAGGGAAUCUUCCGCAAUGGGCGAAAGCCUGACGGAGCAACGCCGCGUGAGUGAUGAAGGUCUUCGGAUCGUAAAACUCUGUUAUUUGGGAAGAACAUAUGUGUAAGUAACUGUGCACAUCUUGACGGUACCUAAUCAGAAAGCCACGGCUAACUACGUG